rnacentral:rRNA from 1 species
GACGAACGCUGGCGGCGUGCCUAACACAUGCAAGUCGAACGGAAAGGCCCUGCUUGUAGGGCACUCGAGUGGCGAACGGGCGAGUAACUCGCGGGUGAUCUGCCUUCCUCUUCGGGAUAAGCCAGGGAAACUGGCUCGAACUCCGGCCAGAUGACAUCUUUAGCGUGAUGGUUGGAAAGUUUUAUCGGUGGUGGCUGAGCGCGCGGGCUAUCAGCUUGUUGCUGGGGUAAUGGCCUACGAAGGCGACGGCGGGUAGCCGGCCUGGGAGGGUGGACGGCGACAUUGAGACUGAGGGACGGCCCAGGCGCGUACGGGAGGCAGCGGAGGGAAAUAUGGAACAAUGGGCGCGAGCGUGAUGCGGAGGCGCCGCGGGGGGGAUAACGGCCUUCGGGUUGAGAACUCCUUUCGCUAGGGACGAAGCUUUUUGUGACGGUACCUAGAGAAGAAGCACCGGCUAACUACGUG